UGAGGAAUAUUGGACAAUGGGCGCAAGCCUGAUCCAGCCAUGCCGCGUGCAGGAUGACGGUCCUAUGGAUUGUAAACUGCUUUUGUACGAGAAGAAACACUCCUUCGUGAAGGAGCUUGACGGUAUCGUAAGAAUAAGGAUCGGCUAACUCCGUGCCAGCAGCCGCGGUAAUACGGAGGAUCCAAGCGUUAUCCGGAAUCAUUGGGUUUAAAGGGUCCGUAGGCGGUUUAGUAAGUCAGUGGUGAAAGCCCAUCGCUCAACGGUGGAACGGCCAUUGAUACUGCUGAACUUGAAUUAUUAGGAAGUAACUAGAAUAUGUAGUGUAGCGGUGAAAUGCUUAGAGAUUACAUGGAAUACCAAUUGCGAAGGCAGGUUACUACUAAUGGAUUGACGCUGAUGGACGAAAGCGUGGGUAGCGAACAGGAUUAGAUACCCUGGUAGUCCACGCCGUAAACGAUGGAUACUAGCUGUUGGGGGCAACUUCAGUGGCUAAGCGAAAGUGAUAAGUAUCCCACCUGGGAGUACGUUCGCAAGAAUGAAACUCAAAGGAAUUGAC
rnacentral:rRNA from 1 species